rnacentral:misc_RNA from 1 species
UAUUUCCUUUGUAGAAGCUAUCAUAUUCAUCCAAUUCCUGUAAGCAAAGGAAAUCGGCCCCAAGGCUCUUGAGAACUGUCAGGAUUGCCUGUGAACGAGCUUUCCACUUGAGACAAGGCCUUGGGGAGUGUGAAAACAGAUCACCCUUAACAUAUGCCUGAGCCAAAAUGUUAUAUGAUACCAAACUGAACUUAAAACCAUCUGAUUUGCUUACUGAAGUAAUUCCACUCUUUUCAGCAGGAACAAAUUUUG